UAAGCUUUGAUACCAACUGUGACGCCCCCAAAAUAGGUAUACAUCACCCAUUCUGAGUCUCCAAAUACAUGGUACAAAAUAUAAAUACAAACUUAAUUAUACAACAUGAGCUGAGAGUUUUUACACGAAUAUUGUCUAGUAGACAGUAUUCAAACUCAAAUAUUGGAGUCCUCAUUACAAUUAUUAUCACACUAAUUUAUAAAAUAGUGAGGACUACAGCCACCAUCUCGGACCGUCACUCCAUUCCCUGACUAGUCCCGGC
rnacentral:lncRNA from 1 species